GGAGGCAGCAGUGAGGAAUAUUGGUCAAUGGCCGAGAGGCUGAACCAGCCAAGUCGCGUGAGGGAUGAAGGUUUAUGGAUCGUAAACCUCUUUUAUAAGGGAAUAAGUGCGGGACGUGUCCCGUUUUGUAUGUACCUUAUGAAUAAGGAUCGGCUAACUCCGCGCCAGCAGCCGCGGUAAUACGUAGGGGGCAAGCGUUAUCCGGAUUUACUGGGUGUAAAGGGAGCGCAGGCGGUCUGGCAAGUCUGAUGUGAAAUCCCGGGGCUCAACCCUGGAACUGCAUUGGAAACUGUCAGACUAGAGUGCCGGAGAGGUAAGUGGAAUUCCUAGUGUAGCGGUGAAAUGCGUAGAUAUUAGGAGGAACACCAGUGGCGAAGGCGGCUUACU
rnacentral:rRNA from 1 species